CAUCGUUAACAUCGAAAAUACUUAAUAUAUACAUUUCUGUAAUUUCUGUGUGUUCGUUUAUGUUUUGUUUUUCAUUUUCCUGACCAUACUUUUUUUCAUUUUCCUGACCAUACUUUUUUUCAUUUUUUACAGCAUUUGUGGGUGAAGCGGUAAUUGAGUCUGCUGUUGGGUGGUUGAACGCUGCUCAGAUCGAGUCACUCUUGCUUGCGGCUGAGGCCAAUUUGAUCCCCAUUUCUACAGAUCCUGCACCAGAAGGGACAACAGGUUUAUUUGUGUACAACACUAGAGCGUACAACGACCACAGAAUGUAUCAUCAUGUUGGUCCAGCAUCUCUGAUUGCAAGACAAACUCUUGUCAACGGUGACUCUUUCGUUAAAAUGGGCGAGGCCAUUGGUUUUAACAACAACCGCUAUCGCAAACGUGUACACCGCAACUUCGAUAGGUUCGAUCACUUGGCGAUUAUCCACUACAGGUUCAUCGGUCUCCACGAGCUUUGAAAGUAUAUCGCCAGAGUCAUUGCUUGGAAGCUGGAUUGGAAGAAGGAUGUGCUCAUAUUCAUAGGAAAACGUGUCAUUAAGGAAUUACCAGAUUUCUUACAUUUUUAAAAAAACUGUGUUCUUAUCUUAGGUUUUUUGUACAUUUACAUGAUUUACAUUUACAUUGUUUUUAUCAGGUCUGAAUGAUUGAGUAGGAAGGUUCUAAACUCAUAUAUGUAACCCUGAAUAUUUAGAUUGGUUUCAGUUGAGUAGUCAAUAUAUAACAUUCCAUAAAAAAUCAAAAACAUCUUAUAUAUUAAAUAAUAUAUAAAAAAAUUAAGUUGUAAGUCUAUAAUUUUAACAUUUUCUAACGUCCAUGGUUAGAAGUAACUUGCUGAAGAAGCUACAAUGGCAGCUUAUAUUGAUCAGUAUCGGUUUUGGUUUUGGUGUUGGUUUCAGUAUGGUUCUGGUGUCUGACGGAAAUAGCCCCUCCAAAUCCAAGAGGAGCGUUCAACAAUGGGUUUCAAGUAGCGAUCAUAUUCGGUUUUGUUGUUGCAACGAUCAUUAAUUACUUCAUUGCACAGAUGAAAGGGAACAUUGGAUGGAGAAUCUCUCUAGGGUUAGAUUGUGUCUCUGCAGUGAUUAUCAUGAUGAUCGGAGCUCUGAAUCUUCCUGACACUCUAAACUCCCUCAUCAAACGUGGCUUCCCUGAAGAGUCAAAGCAAAUGAUUCGAUCUAUCCAAGGAACCGAUGAAGUAGAAGAAGAGUUUCAAGAUCUCAUUGAUGCAAGUGAGAAGUCUAAGCAAGUGAAACAUCCAUGGAAGGACAUCUCAGUUCCACGUUACAGACCACAAUUGAUCAUGACUUGCUUUGUUCCUUUCUUCCAGCAGCUUACCGGAAUCAAUGUCAUUACACUUUAAGAGCCCGUUCUGUUUUAAACCUAGGGUUCGGUAGUAAAGCCUCGCUCAUAUCGGCUAUGGUAACUGGAAUCAUCGAGAUCUUGUGUACAUUUGUCUCUGUUUUUACAGUUGAUAGGUUCGGAAAAAGAGUUUUUUUUUUCCUCCAGGGAGGUAUUCAGAUGCUUAUCUCUCAGAUCGCUAUUGGAAUCAUGAUUGGAGUCAAAUUCGUAACGGCUGGAACAGGGAACAUACAAAAACCAGCUAACAAAUUUGAUUAUUUACCUUAUCAUCUUUGACCAAGAUGAUGUAUAGAUCUCCAAAAUAUUAUUUGACUACAGAGGAAUGAUGAGCAACGUGCACUCGUCUUUAAAACGGCACCAACAAACUACUCUCUCUCUCCAUUUCAUUUUAGUUGUUGUUGUUUUAUGUUUGUGUAAACAAAUUAAGAAAACAUUUAAUUUUAUAUAUUUUUAAAAAAAUCAUCAUUAUCUAUAAUACCGAACCAUAUUUCAACUAAUAAAAAAUAAAGUAGCAUAUAAAUUCAUAAAUUUUGUAUUGAAAUUAGGGGUAGCCAAAUUAAUCGAACCCAAAACCCCAAAUCGAGUCCAAUCCGAUAAAAACGAAACUGAACCGAUCUGAAUCUGACAUAAAUACCAAAUAGAUCUUGUUUCAUGGUAUUUUGGGUUACAAGUAUUAUCCGA